rnacentral:rRNA from 1 species
UGGAGAACUGAGGGGGGCUGCUCCUAGUACGAGAGGACCGGAGUGGACGCAUCACUGGUGUUCGGGUUGUCAUGCCAAUGGCACUGCCCGGUAGCUAAAUGCGGAAGAGAUAAGUGCUGAAAGCAUCUAAGCACGAAACUUGCCCCGAGAUGAGUUCUCCCUGACUCCUUGAGAGUCCUGAAGGAACGUUGAAGACGACGACGUUGAUAGGCCGGGUGUGUAAGCGCAGCGAUGCGUUGAGCUAACCGGUACUAAUGAACCGUGAGGCUUAACCUUACAACGCCGAAGGUGUUU